ACAAAUUUAAAAUUAGUUAUGAUAUUAUAUUAUUCAAAAGAUCAAUCUAAUAAAAAAUAGAUUUAAAAAUAGAUUUAAUUAAAACACACUACUCACAUAUAGAGCUAGGCUCCUAUACUUUCGAAAGCACGAAGGCCUCCGUGUUGGUAAGUUAUUUUCGACGAUGGGACAUCUGAUUCGAAAAUUGGCUUUGUUAGGCAUGAUAUACACUAUUAGAAAUAUUUAAAAACUAAAUUUUAAAAUUUUUUGAUUUCGUUUGCUUAGUGGACGAGUAGUCUCAAAAUGAAUGACUAAAAAUAAAAAAAAUUAUAAAAAUAAUGAUAAAAUAUUCAAAUUUUAAAUCGGAAGUACUAUUUUUGCUUUUGAUGUUAAGUAAAUUUUUUUUUUUAAGUUUUAUGUAAUUUGAAUUUUUCUACACUGUUGAAUUUACAAAUGUAUCACAUCGGAUAUUAAAAUAGUCACUGUUGAGACCCUUUGAUCACUUGCUAAAUGAUAUCGAAAAAUUAUAAAAUUUAGUUUAUAAAAAACUCUAAUAGCAUAGAUUAUAUUUAACGAAGCCGAUCGUCGAAUCGAAUGUCCCUAUAUCGAAAAUAACUUAUAAAUACGGAGGUCUCUGUGCUUUUGAAACCAUAGGCAACGUGCGCUUCACAUAUACAUAUAAU
rnacentral:lncRNA from 1 species